rnacentral:lncRNA from 1 species
ACACAUUGUUUUGGCACAGCUUGGUCUAUGAGGUCCUUGCACCAUAAAACCGCAUACAACCAACUACAGAGACUGCAAUGGUUAUGAUCACAACAAUGCAUUGCGAUGUCUUUAGCCUUUGGACACUCGAACCUUUCAAUGUCUAUAAAGGGAAUAUCAUAUGCUCUGCAGAGAUCCUUCUCGAUGUGACCUCCUUUAUAAACAAUAAAAUCAUUAAUGCGUUUUAUACAUUGCAUUACAAUUGGCAGAUCACGAUGUUCAAACCAACUUGUCAUUUGUGUCUCUGCUUUUGGUUGGUAUUCUAUAUCUAAACCAUGCUGCUUCCUUUGGAAACUGAUAGCUUUUCUACAGAAGCUGGAAGUCUAGAAUAUAUGAUCUGGAUUGGUAGUGUAAAAAUGAUUUGUAAAAGUUUUCAGAAUCUGUUAAAGAGAUGAGAUAAUUAGCACGAUAUAAAAUGCCUGUUGGAAACGAAAACUCCUCGAUGUUCAUGAUAACAUCUAUGAAAGACAACAUCUAUAAAAAUAUUUAUACUUUAAGUAAUUAUUUAUAAAUAUUCUUACCUUUUUGAUGUUGUAAAAGGGUAUUCAUAACUAUAGUU